GUCUCCGUGGUCCAGUGGUUACGACGUUCGGCUGUUAACCGAGAUAUCGGCGGUUCGAUCCCGCCCGGGGACG
rnacentral:tRNA from 2 species